UUAUUAUCUCAGUCUUGUACAAACCACGAAAGAAAUACAUUACAUUUAUUCAAUUGUACACACAAAUGAAAGACUCAGUCUCACCAAAGGUCUGAUGAAGCAUUAAAAAAUUGCGAAACCGGUCACAACUGGUGAUUAAAAACAUCCAA